rnacentral:rRNA from 1 species
GACGAACGCUGGCGGCGUGCCUAAUACAUGCAAGUUGAGCGCUGAAGGUUGGUACUUGUACCAACUGGAUGAGCAGCGAACGGGUGAGUAACGCGUGGGGAAUCUGCCUUUGAGCGGGGGACAACAUUUGGAAACGAAUGCUAAUACCGCAUAAAAACUUUAAACACAAGUUUUAAGUUUGAAAGAUGCAAUUGCAUCACUCAAAGAUGAUCCCGCGUUGUAUUAGCUAGUUGGUGAGGUAAAGGCUCACCAAGGCGAUGAUACAUAGCCGACCUGAGAGGGGGAGCGGCCACAUUGGGACGGAGACACGGCCCAAACUCCUACGGGAGGCAGCAGGAGGGAAGCUUCGGCAAUGGAAGAAAGUCUGACCGAGCAACGCCGCGUGAGUGAAGAAGGGUUUCGGAUCGUAAAACUCUGUUGGUAGAGAAGAACGUUGGUGAGAGUAGAAAGCUCAUCAAGUGACGGUAACUACUCAGAAAGGGACGGCUAACUACGUG